rnacentral:rRNA from 1 species
GGCUCAGGACGAACGCUGGCGGCGUGCCUAACACAUGCAAGUCGAGCGAGGAGAUCCUUCGGGAUGAUCCUAGCGGCGGACGGGUGAGUAACACGUGGGCAACCUGCCUCAUAGAGAGGAAUAGCCUUCCGAAAGGGAGAUUAAUACCUCAUAACAUUGCAGUUUCGCAUGGAACAGCAAUUAAAGGAGUAAUCCGCUAUGAGAUGGGCCCGCGGCGCAUUAGCUAGUUGGUGAGGUAACGGCUCACCAAGGCGACGAUGCGUAGCCGGCCUGAGAGGGUGAUCGGCCACAUUGGGACUGAGACACGGCCCAGACUCCUACGGGAGGCAGCAGUGGGGAAUAUUGCACAAUGGGGGAAACCCUGAUGCAAGCAACGCCGCGUGAGUGAUGACGGCCUUCGGGUUGUAAAGCUCUGUCUUCAGGGACGAUAAUGACGGUACCUGAGGAGGAAGCCACGGCUAACUACGUGCCAGCCGCUGC